UAGGGAAUCUUCCACAAUGGACGCAAGUCUGAUGGAGCAACGCCGCGUGAGUGAAGAAGGUUUUCGGACCGUAAAGCUCUGUUGUUGGUGAAGAAGGAUAGAGGUAGUAACUGGCCUUUAUUUGACGGUAAUCAACCAGAAAGUCACGGCUAACUACGUGCCAGCAGCCGCGGUAAUACGUAGGUGGCAAGCGUUGUCCGGAUUUAUUGGGCGUAAGGCGAGCGCAGGCGGAAGAAUAAGUCUGAUGUGAAAGCCCUCGGCUUAACCGAGGAAUUGCAUCGGAAACUGUUUUCUUGAGUGCAGAAGAGGAGAGUAGAACUCCAUGUGUAGCGGUGGAAUGCGUAGAUAUAUGGAAGAAUACCAGUGGCGAAGGCGGCUCUCUGGUCUGCAACUGACGCUGAGGCUCGAAAGCAUGGGUAGCGAACAGGAUUAGAUACCCUGGUAGUCCAUGCCGUAAACGAUGAGUGCUAAGUGUUGGGAGGCUUCCGCCUCUCAGUGCUGCAGCUAACGCAUUAAGCACUCCGCCUGGGGGAGUACGACCGCAAGGUUGAA
rnacentral:rRNA from 1 species